rnacentral:lncRNA from 1 species
UUCAUAAGAUAAGCAAGAAAUAUUACAAUUCUUUUUGCAAUUAAAAAGAAGACUAUUACAACAACACUUUUUACAAGCUGGUCAUGGACAACCGUUGUACAACCGACAACUUAGAGCAGUGGCUGGCUUGUCUUAGUUAUAGCACACUCAACAUCAUUGCAAGGCAUCUUGCGGACAACAAAGAAGCUCAUUUGGAAUCCGGUACAUUUGUCUGUACAUUAGAAGCAUUCACUGAGAAAGAACAAAACACACACUGAUAGUUGUUGAUAAAAUAAAAUGUGCAAAAAUGUAUGUACAAUAAAGUUUUACGAAUAGAAAAAACACCGGCACUGGUUGAAGCACAUAAUAGUAGUGGUUGAAGCACAUAAUAGUAGUGGUUGAAGCACAUAAUAGUAGUGGUUGAAGCACAUAUGUCUGCUAAUGAUUCCAACAAAAUGUUUUUACGAUUAAAUAAGCAUACACUUAAGAUGCUGAAAGCAAAAUUCGCUAUACCAUAGAGAUACAUGUAAGAAAUAAAAGUAGGAAGCAUGGCUACUAGGAAGCAUUGGCUUCAUUAUAUCGUAACAUAUAUUUAACACACUGGAAACAUGGAUUUUGUAUUUUUUUAAUCGCUCGCAUGAUUGGAUGCGGAAAGUUGUGUUUCCAAAAUAAGUUAAGAACAUACAAUUAAUUAGAUAAUAUUAAAAUAGUUUGUUGUCAAUAUAACCAGAAACAUGUAUAAGAAUGAACUGUUUCCAAGGCAAAAAUAAACUAAUUUGCCAACCUAAAUCUGGAAUAUUGAUAUAAUGAUAUUUGACAAUUUCAUGAACAUAAGUGAGAUUAGUAGUAUCAUCGAACAUAAGUGAGAAUUUUUUGAGCCUAAAUCAACUUUUACUAGGAUAAACCAUGAUCCGGGAAGGCAUUGAUUUGAGUAAGAAAAUACACUCUCUAUGUAGUAGUAUAUUGCAAAGAAAUUGAAUCAUCAUGGCAGCCUGAGAAACAGAGUUGCAAAAUCAGGUGCAGAACAGCGAGCUGCUCACAAGAAGGCCAUCAUGGCUGCCUGAGGGAG